GAGUUCUGGCAGUGGCUGAGGGGCCCAUCAGCAGAAGCAGCAGUAAAAGUAAUGUUUGUGGAGAGGCGGACGGAGAAAGAAGAUAUCAGAUUAAGAACUGAAGAUUGAAUGGAUAAGAGAA